AAACACAAGUGCGACACGUCAUAGCACCGUAUUUUAAAUGACCGUCGUGACGCAUACUCGCGUCCAAUGUGGCUGAUACAAGACGGUACAUUAGGUGGGACUCAAUAUGAAGAGUAUUGCGAGAGAGGAGGUGCCAGGACCUCCAAAUAGUAGGUUGUACCUUGAGAAGUUAAACUACAAAAACAUGAAAAAAAAAGUUCAAUUGACUUGAGGCAACACAACUGUCGUUAAAACUAUGUAGUUUAAGUCUCAUUCACCUAAUCAUUUCUGGACAUUGCUUUGUGGACGUCUUUGAUGUUUGUUGCGUAUCAAUAAUGCCUUUGAUGUCUAAUCUCAUCUUUCCAGCUCUGCAACCAGGCUGUUGUAAAUACAAAGACAUGACAGGGGUCAAGACAGCGUCAUUUGUUUUGUAGAAAUCUUUAUUUACUAGGGAACGUCAACGUAAGAAUCGGGAGCCAUCAGACCAGUUGCUUCGCCCAUUGUCUUCUGACCAGGUUUGGUGAACCUAUUGGAACCAUGGUUAGUCCAGGAAGGUCCGAGCCACGUUUCUGCCGAGCUUCAUGUCUGAGGAAGUGGAGUUAAAGACGUCUUUGUGGAGACUAAAAUGUCCAUGAACGAGUACUUGAGGUAGAAUCAAAAGCUCAUUCAGAUGGCCUCACCACUGUGAAGACUCAGGAACUCUCCCAACCAGUCAGGGACAUAGGCAGAGUAUCCACAAUAAACUGUACACUCAGUGAGCUGGCAAUCAUGGAUGAUGAUGUGUUCAUGGAUGAUGGAUCAUGACCUCACGAUUCACAAGCACAAACCAUCAAACUUGGUGAAGAUGAUGCAGUUUUCCUUUGAAGCAUACAGCUGUGCCUGCUGCAAAAUAGUGGCUCUACAGAGAAUUGACGCUAGGGGGCGUCAGUUCUCGGCUCUGAGUCUCUGCUACCACAUCAGACAGAAGCCGUCUGAGAAGCCUGCAGGACCAACUAAAGAGUGAGCUGCUUGCUUGAAAGUAACAUUUUCUGGCUGAAUUUCAAACAGAUUUUAACACUGUGUGCUCUCUGUGUCCUGUGACUGUGUUAUUCACAGUAUACUUGCAUUCAUUAAAAAAAAAUGAGUGUGUACAUAAGACAAGAGCAUAUUUGAGUUUCUAUCCCCUUUAUGAGUGUAGACUGACCUCUGUAAAGUUUUGGGUGUUUUCCUCUCUUCACUUUCAUCAGCAGAGCUCAGAGCCAGCGCUGAGUUGUUUGGCCAAGCACGCUCUGUGACAAAAAUAUCUCCCAGACCCCACCGUGAGCAGAUGGCCUCUCAGCUUGGAUUGUCACGACUCACCGUCUAGUACAGGAGGUUUUGUGAUGGACGGUCAGUUUCUGAAGGAGAACUUCAUCCGUUGGGUGAAUGCAGAGACGCACAGGUUGCCCUGACCGCUGUCUGGCAGGUUGCCGGGGGCAACCGUAGACGUUGGA